GAUGCAAUAGAAAAUUUUGAGUUAGAGGAGCAAGAACAACAAAGUCUUAUGAAUCAUGUCCCUGCCAAUUUUUAAUGGCAAGGUAGGUAAUGAACAAGAAAAAACAAGUGCUGCAUCUCUACAUACAUUUUCUCCUUAUGCUCAAACAACAUUCGUUGCACCAUCAAACACUGGAAAUAAAAGAAGAAAGGCAAAUAAAG
rnacentral:lncRNA from 1 species